GCGAAGCGACCUGGCGGGCUGGAGCUACUGCGGAGCGUGGGCUCGGCCCUAGCGGGAGCCAAGCACCGGCCGCAGCUCUCUGUGGGCUGCAAUUCUAGCAAACAGCCGGAAGCGCCCUGCUGGUUGCUGCUGCUUUUGCUCUUCCGUCCUUCAGGCUCUUCACGAGCAUCCCUCCCUGCGCUCCAGCUCCCGGCCGCGGCGGAUGGAAGAUAACCCGUGGAGAUUCAGCCCAUGGAGACAAGGGUCCACUAGAUAGCAGCAGAUCCAAAAGCAGCAUCAGCCAAAAAGCCGAAUUUUUUACUCUGCUUCAGUUUCACUGAAAUACAAGGAGGCCUGAAUGAAUUUGAUACGCUUUGCCCUAGUUAUGGACAGUGACAAAAAAAGAGGAAGAGACACCUGAUCUGCAGCAUGACUAGAACUGGACAUUUGGGGGGCCUCUCAGUGCAUAGAUCUGUAAUAGAACAGUGUAAGAAUUAGUGGCACACACAUUCAUCAUCCUACCUCAUCACACUAGUAGGUUUUGAUUUCUAAAGCAGAAAAUGCCCUCAAGUUUUCUCAAGACAUUUUUUCCACCUUCAACUUCGAUAGCAAACCCCAACUCUGCUGAAUGACUUGUGUAAGAUAGAAUGCAGAACUCAUGCAUUCAGCAGCUCCUCUUAAAUUAUCUUAAAACAGCCUCACAGAUGUUUCCUGAUCACAGAUUAUCAGCUUACAGGUGUUGUUUUCUUUUUUUUUUUUAAACUAUGCAUAAACCAAAGCGCAGACCCAGAAAGACCAUGUACGUUUUGUCAAGUCCUUGCA